GGCAUAUGGAAAUUCCCAGGCUAGGGGUCGAAACGGAGCUGCAACUGCUGGCCCACGCCAGAGCCACAGCAAUGCAGGAUCGAGCCACAUCAACGACCCACCCCACAGCUCACGGCAUUGCCAGAUCCUUAACCCACUGAGCCACCAGGGAGCUCCAAUUAUCCCUGUUUUAUACAUACUAGAACCCAACUUGUCCACAGUCAUAAAGUUCCAAAUUAAAUGGCAGAACAAGACUCACAGCAGGUCUGGCUGGCUGCAAGGGCCCAGCCCGUCACCAUCCUGACUCUGCCACGCCAGCAUGUGUGGCACCAGAUGUUUGCUCUGUGCAGAGGACCACAACUUUUGCCUGGGGGAAAAGAUGGGGUUAGGUCAUGCCUCCCAGGAGAUGUACUGCUUGAGCUGUGACCUUGAUGGACAAGGUGGAGGAAGGUUCUCCAAAAAAAUGCAGUACUUAGAGUUUGAGACUUCAGCCUACUUAAUGAAAACUGCUAUUUUUACAGAGUUAAAAGGUUAAAGGAUGCAAACAUAGCUUGUCCACCCAGGACGGACGUAUUUCCAGAGACAGCUGGGAGCCUGCUUCAGUGAAUAAUGAGUGAGGUUCCUGGGAAAGUGGAGAGGAGCUGGUUGGCCAAAGACCAGCUGUGCUCACGUGGGGAUCAACCAGAGCAUCCAUCAAAACCAAUGCUGCAGUCUUGGAAACGUUCAGAAAUCAGAGUCAUAGGCGUGUUGAUAAGGGCAUCAGCCAAAGAAAAUCAUAAUUUAAAAAGACUCCAGAGAGCACAGAUGUUUUUAAAAGGUGUGUUCCACAAUGGAUUUGCUAAAGCCCUUCCAUAUUUAUAAAGGAGAACCCAGUUACCACGGCUGCCUAAAAAGUCAUUCCAACUUAGUGACAUAAAGCUACUAUCUGUUAUGCUCACAGAGUCUGUGGGUCAGGAAUUUGGACAAGGCACAGAGGCAACAGCUUGUCAUUGCUCCCUGAUGGCCUCAGCUGGAUGACUCAGAGGCUCAGGGCUUAAAUCAUUUGAAGACUCCUUCUUUUUAAAAAAAUUUAAUUUUAUCUGAAUGCAGUUGACUUAAAAUGUUGUAUUAGUUUCAGAUGUACAGCAAAGUGAAUCAGUCAUACAUAUAAAUAUAUUCAUUCUUUUUUUCCUAUAUAGGUUAUUACAAACUAUGGAAUAGAUUUUCCUGUGCUAUGCAGUAGAUUCUCAUUAAUCAUCAUUUUAUUUUAUUUUUUUUUAUUUUGUCUUUUUAAGGCCACACGCAUGACAUAUGAGUGUUCCCAGGCUAGGGGUCAAAUAGAAGUUACAGUUGCUGGCCUACACCACGGCCAAGCUCAUGGCAACACCAGAUUCUUAACCCACUGAGUGAGGCCAGGGAUUGAACCCAUGUCCUCAUGGACACUAGUCAGGUUCAUUUCCACUGAGACACAAUGAGAACUCCCCAUAUUUUAUUUAGACUGCAUAAGAAUCAGGUUUGCAGAUUGUCUUGAAAAGCAAAAAUAUUUUCAACUUUUGGGAAAACAUUUCGGCAAUGUGAGCUGAAAUUCUCUCAUGUCAACAUUUGCCAGAGUAGAGUAUCAGCUGCUCUUUUUAAACCAAGUAUGUGGUCUCCACUCUCCCUGGUCACUACAGACCCAGUCGCUUGGGUUGCACAUGGGUUGAUCCAUGGGUUUUUCCAUGCAUUUCCACUUAUGUCAUUACGUGCCCAGUCCCCACAGAUGCUGAGUUUAUGAUCCUUGUGUAGAGGAUAUGGAUGCCCUUAGUCUAACAACCUAUGGAAACUGCCAGAAGUCAGAUCUAAAGGAGAGCUAAGAUGUAUCAAAAGAGGUGAAAUUAUUCCAUUUAACAUGCACUUGCUUUGGUUACCAUGUCUGCUUGCAUUGUCCUAAAUUUGCCUCCCUGAGAACUUGUAAUAAGAACAUGAUUUUUCUUAGCUCUCGUUGUCUUUGAUUUGAAAAAAGACCUAAGGAGGGUUUGGGGUCUGGGAUGGACAAGCUGGGGUUUCAAGACCUCUGUGUUGCCAGAGCUGAAGGAAACUUCGGGAACCUACCUGAAGUCGUUCUUACCCUGGGAUCAGGGAUUCGGGGGUCUGUGAACCCCAAGAGGAUAAUACAUAGUUGAAUGUGGAUGAGGAGGAAGAGCAUGUGUUUAUGUAGGUUUCGCAAAGAGUUUUUGACCCCAAAAGGUUAGGAAUCUCUGCAACACCUGGAGAUAGAGGAUCAGGGCAGGGUCAAAUGGUUUCAUGGGCAGUUGCUGUGGGGAGAAGCUGAGAGGGAGGCUCAGGAAGAGAAAGAAGAGGUCAGGGUAGGUGAGGGGCUGGCACCGGGGGAACACGGGCCUGGAAGCCAGAGCGAACUUCCCCAAAACUGCCUUUGUCAAGGUCACGGAUAACUUCCGUGUUGUUAAAUCUCAGAGUCAUGUUUCGGUCUCUGCCCGCUUGACCUAGCAGCCAGCGGGCCGGAUGGAUCAUCCCUCCCCCUCAAAAUCCUCCCUUUCGUGGCUUCCAGGACUCCAAAAUUUCCUAGAUUUUUUUCCUGCCUCAUUCGGCUGAUUCUUCUUAAGUCUCCUUUGCUGGGUCUUCAUCUUCUUCCUGACUUCUAACCUUUGGAAGUUUCUAGAGCUCUUCUUCUAGUCACUAUAUACAUUCACUUUCUCGGUGAUACGGAUGUAAAUAACACCAGUCCCAUGGAUUUAAAUAACACCUAUAUCCUGAAGUCUUACAUUGUCGCUGGGAAUGUAAAUUGGUGCAGCCAUUAAGGAAAACAUUAUGUAGGUUCCUCAAAAAACUGAAAAUAGGACUACCAUGUGAUCCAGCAAUUCCAAUCCUGGGCAUUUAUCUGGAGAAAACCAUAAUUCGAAAAGAUACAUGCACCCUAAUGUUCAUUGCAGCACUAUUUGCAAUAGCCAGGACAUGGACUCCACCUAAAUGUCCAUCAAUGGAGGGAUGGAUAAAGAAGAUACGGUACCUAUGUAUGAUGGAAUACUACUCAGCCAUCAAAAAGAAUGAACUAAUGUUAUCUGCAACAAUAUGGAUGGAUCUAGAGAUUACCAUACUAAGUGAAGUAAGUCAGACAAAGACAAAUACCACACAAUUAUCACUUAUAUGUGGAAGCUAAAACAUAACACAAAUAAUCAUAUCUACCAAAAAACAAAACAAAACAAAACAGACUCACUGAUAUAGAGAACAGUGGGGAGGGGAGGGAAGGAUUGGGGUUUGGGAUAAGCAAACUGUUACAUACAGGGUGGAUAAACAACAAGGUCCUACUGUACAGUAUAGGAAAUUAUUCAAUGUCCUGUGACAAUCAUAGUGGAAAAGAAUAGAGUAAGAAUAUAUAUAACUGAAGCACUUCACUGUACAGAAGGAAUUAACACAACUAUACUCGAAUAACAUUUAAUAAAUAAAUAAAUACCUCAGACUUUCCAAAACUGAACUCUUGUUUCCCCUGCCCUCCCUUUUCCCCAACCAAUUCCUCCCCCCAGGCUUUCCCAUCUCAGGGAAAGGGACCUCCAGGCGAGAGUGCCAAGAAUCCGGAGCAUUCUCUUGCCUCACAUGACAUCACACGCUUCCCUGCCUUUCUCCUACUUUGGAAUCAGGACAGCCACCAUCAAUGUGGGGGGCUUAAGUGGGACCACUUGGCCAGUCCCAUGUCUCCCAUGGUUAUUAAAGAUAUGGGGGAUCCAACCUGGAGUUUCCUGCUGUUGCCCAAAAUGGAGCCCAAAGAGGGGCAAUUGAAAGGGCCAAGGACUGGCCCAUCCAACUGGAAACCUCAGCCUUGGCCAUUUGCCAGAGGAGGCUUUGAGGAACAGAAUCACAAGUGAUAUGAGCCCUUGGGUUGCAUUUAUUUUAGGAGAAGCCUAGUGGGGGAUGUGUGUGGGCGCAGAUUGUGAAGGUAGAAUCUGAACAGAUCAAAAGAGUAACACAGGUUGAAGUCAAUUCAGGCUGAACAGGAGGCAGGUGGCAAUUCCCUGCAGGAGGGUGUCCCUGUCCUCCACGGGUGCUGACGUCUCAUGCAGUUAUGCUGUUAAUGACCUGCAACAACAGAAAGGAAGGGCCCUGAUGUGUCCUCUGCGAAUCCCUCAAAAGCAUUCAGAGGUGAGCUUCCUUUAUAGAAUGCUUAAAAGGAACAGAGGACAGGUUUGAAGCUAUCAUUGCUGUUAUUUCUAUUCUUUUCUUUUUUGGCCACCCCACUGCAUAUGGAGUUCCCAGGCCAGGGAUAGAUCCCAGCAGCAGUUGUAACCUUUGCAACACCAGAUCUUUAACCUACUGUGCCAGGCUGGGGCUCGAACGCGUCCCAGUGCUCCAGAGAUGCCGCUGAAACCAUUGCACCACAAAGGAAACUCCACAUUGCUAUUAUUUCUGAUUUGAUGUGUAGUUCUGCUGUUCAUAUUUAUAAUAUGAUUUGAGAGGCAGCUGGUCCCUGUAAAGCAGCACCUCCCUGAAAACACACAUGGCAUCGGCUAGACCAGGCUACAGCAGAUAAUUAUGAUGCCCAGUGUGUCCCCCUUUCCAGUCCCAGUGGGUCUAGAUCUUGGCAUUUACAAACCAGGCAAAGGUUGGAUUUUUCCAGAAUGUUUUCCUUGAUGCCUAGCGGAAAGUAAAUUCUCCCUCUUCUUUGCUCUUUAUACAGCCCUCGGCUAAAAUUCCCCUGCUUUUCUCUGCUUUAUUCUAGUUACUUUUGGGGCCUGUACCUUCUCUCCUCUUAGAGUUUGGUUUCGUGGAGGGCAAGUAAUAUGUCUGGCUGCUCUUUGACUCUCUGGCAUUUACCAGAGUGCCUGACACACAUAGAUACUCAAUAAUUGCUGGGCAAAUGAAAGAAUGAAAAGAAAGAUUAAGGCAGAGACUAUCUUUAAUGAUGCUCAUGGUAGAAACAGCUACCCUUCUGAGUGUUUACUAUGUGUUGGGUUUUAAGCUAACAACUUUUUGUCUGAUUCCAAAGCCGGACAGAUAGAAAGCAGCCUAUAUGGAAUGAUAAGGAGGGCUCCUGAAAGCCUUCUGCCGGUCCAUUUGAAGUGCAUGCCAGAAGUUUGUAAGCGGGACAAAUUGAAAGCCAAAAUGUUAAAGGCAAAAUUGUUAAUGAGAGACACAUCAUAUGAAUAUAUUAAUUUUGAGAACUGCUACUUUUAAAUUAAUUAUUAAUUGCCUUAGUCUGUUCAGGCUGCUAUAACAAAACACCACACAGUCUGGAUGGCUUAUAAACAACAGAAAUUUGUUUCUCACGGU
rnacentral:lncRNA from 1 species